GCCGCGGGAGCAGCGGCGAGAGAACCGGGUGAUCGCGCUGCGGGGGGGAAACGCUGGAGCGAGGCGAAAGCGUGUAACAAUUGCACACGCACUCGCCGCCCGCCCGCUCGCACAGCGCUGGAACACGCGGGCCCAGACACGCACACCCGCAGAGGCACGGGGGGGGGGGAGAAGCCGAUGAAUAAUUUUGCUGCUAUUUUUUAAAAUACUGGCCGCCAUCAAGCAGCGAGCAGCAGCGGCUGGAAGGGAGAGCAGGCCUGGGGCAGGCGCCUCUUAGGAGAGGAUCUAUAUCUAGUUGGAAAAAAAAAGAAAGAAAAGAAAAAGAAGAAAAAAAUUGUCAAGCCCCUGAACUGGAGGUUACAAGAGGCCCGUCAGCAGCCCACAUGCAGCCCAACUAUCGCGUUUCAUGGCUUUUUGCCACUCCAGAUGUCAAUCAGAGCCCGGAAUGUCAAGAACUCCAAGAUUAAAAAUGUCCUUCUCGUUUGAUGCCGAGUUGCUGGUCGACAUGUUUUUUAAAGGAUCCCCUCAAGUCUGAUAGGAAAGACAGGACUACUUCUGGACUAGCUAAAGGCAGGAUCCCUGGGAAGUGUUGCUGGUCUGCAUCACAGGAAAGGAGGAAGGAGCCACAGUGCGCUCCUGCACCCACCCGGUGGAGUCAGGCACUGGAUGGCUCCUUGGGCUCCCUCCUGCAUCACUGCAAAUGUUUUUGGCUGCAAGGGAUACCAAAGCGAAUGCUGACUGGCUGAAGCCAUAAAAGAUAAAGUUGUCCAUGC
rnacentral:lncRNA from 1 species